rnacentral:tRNA from 1 species
GCGCAAGUGGCGGAAUUGGUAGACGCACUAGCUUGAGGGGCUAGCGGGAGCAAUCUCGUGGAGGUUCGAGUCCUCUCUUGCGCA